AAGAAGAAGGAAAAAAACUAAUCGUCAUGAGAAGACGAUAA
rnacentral:sRNA from 1 species